rnacentral:rRNA from 1 species
AGCGAACGCUGGCGGCAGGCUUAACACAUGCAAGUCGAGCGGGCACCUUCGGGUGUCAGCGGCAGACGGGUGAGUAACACGUGGGAACGUGCCCUUUGGUUCGGAACAACUCCGGGAAACUGGAGCUAAUACCGGAUAAGCCCUUCGGGGAAGGAUUAUCGCCAAGGAUCGGCCCGCGUCUGAUUAGCUAGUUGGUGGGGUAACGGCUCACCAAGGCGACGAUCAGUAGCUGGUCUGAGAGGAUGAUCAGCCACACUGGGACUGAGACACGGCCCAGACUCCUACCGGGAGGGCAGCAGUGGGGAAGUAUUGGACAAUGGGCGAAAGCCUGAUCCAGCCAUGCCGCGUGAGUGAUGAAGGCCUAGGGUUGUAAACCCUGUCACCGGGAAGAACGCUAUGUUUAAUAGAUCAUAGCCUGACCUUAACCCCGGAGAGGAAGCAGUGGCUAACUCUGUGCCAGCCGCCGCAGU